UCUGUCUCCUCCCCUCCCUCUCUCCUCCUCCCUCUGUCUGUGUCUGGGUUGGUGGCUGCUCUCUCCAUCUGUCUGAUCAUUCUACUGGUCCUGUUCUGCAAGAGGAACAAAGAUGUAGCAGCUGAACCCAGAGAUGUUACGUAUGCUAACGUUAGAAUCACACAGGACCCAGAACCCAGGAGAAGGAGAGAGAAGUCUCCAGGAGAUGAUCCAGUCUACUCUGCAGUGAAGACCUCCAACACCACAGUUCCAGGUGUAUCCGGUCCAGGUGAUGUGAUCUAUGCUGACACCAACCACACAGAGAAAAGACAACACAACAGGAGGAGAG